AUACCUUUCUUGGCCUUUAGGCUAAGGUUAAGUGUAAUAUACUAUAUGCUCUUAUCAAUUUAAUGUCUUAUAUAUGGGCUAUUGGCCCACACGAGAUCAAAUUCAUAUUUUUCGAGAAAGGCCCAUUUAUGUUAGCUUGCUAAAUGGGCUUUCAAGCGUCGACUAUGCGUUGCACUGUUGUAAGGCCUAGUGCAUCCCCC